rnacentral:tRNA from 1 species
GGUGGGUUGGCUCAGUGGUUAGAGCUUAGGUCUCGUAACCGAAAGGUCGCAGGAUCGAGUCCCGCUAGAGGCUG